rnacentral:rRNA from 1 species
UAGGGAAUCUUCGGCAAUGGGGGGAACCCUGACCGAGCAACGCCGCGUGAGUGAAGAAGGUUUUCGGAUCGUAAAGCUCUGUUGUUAAGGAAGAACGAGUGUGAGAAUGGAAAGUUCAUGCUGUGACGGUACUUAACCAGAAAGGGACGGCUAACUACGUGCCAGCAGCCGUGGUAAUACGUAGGUCCCGAGCGUUGUCCGGAUUUAUUGGGCGUAAAGCGAGCGCAGGCGGUUAGAAAAGUCUGAAGUGAAAGGCAGUGGCUCAACCAUUGUAGGCUUUGGAAACUGUUUAACUUGAGUGCAGAAGGGGAGAGUGGAAUUCCAUGUGUAGCGGUGAAAUGCGUAGAUAUAUGGAGGAACACCGGUGGCGAAAGCGGCUCUCUGGUCUGUAACUGACGCUGAGGCUCGAAAGCGUGGGGAGCGAACAGG